CAACUUCCUUGAUUAACAUCGAUAACCUUAAACAAAUGAGCACACGAAGACCAACUGUCCCAGCGACACUCCUAUAUAAUCGGAUUCGAAUGCGCUGAAUUCACAUGUACACAACACCGUAUACUGUCCCUUCCGGUCAAAGUACACUGCCCGCUGACAGUGACCAGAGAUUCUACUCCAGCUUGCUACUCAUUUUCGAGGGUGUUGAUCAUGGAUCCGACCUCGGUGCCAUGGAGCUCCAUGGUGUACGGUCUCCUGGGGCUCGCGCUUCUGUGGCAGGUCCACCGGCUGCUGGUGCGGCUGUGGUGGCAGCCGCGGCGGCUGGAGCGGGCGCUGCGGGCGCAGGGCGUCCGUGGCACGUCCUACCGCUUCCUCACCGGCGACCUCAAGGACUACGGCCGGCUGAGCAAGGAGGCAUGGGCGAGGCCGCUGCCGCUGCGGUGCCACGACAUCGCGCCGCGCGUGGCGCCGUUCGUGCACCGGACCAUCGCGGAGCACGGCAAGGCGUGCCUCUCCUGGUUCGGCCCCAUCCCCAAGGUGACCAUCGCCGACGCCGAGAUAGCCAAGGACGUGCUGUCCAACAAGAUGGGCCACUUCGAGAAGCUCAAGUUCCCCGUGCUGUCGAAGCUGCUCGCCGACGGCGUGGCCAACUACGAGGGCGAGAAGUGGGCCAAGCACCGGCGGAUCCUCAACCCUGCCUUCCAUCUCGAGAAGCUCAAGCUCAUGCUGCCGGCGUUUUCUGCGUGCUGCGAAGAACUGGUCGGCAGAUGGGCGGCGUCUCUUGGUUCUGACGGUUCGAAUGAGAUCGAUGUUUGGCCGGAGAUGCAGAGCCUCACCGGAGAUGUCAUUUCUCGCACCGCAUUCGGCAGCAGCUACCUUGAAGGAAGAAGGAUUUUCCAGUUGCAGGCUGAGCAACAGGAGCUUUUCAUGGGUGCCAUUCAGAAGAUCUCCAUUCCAGGCUACAUGUCCUUGCCUACCAAAAACAACCGAAGGAUGUAUCAAAUUAAGAACGAGGUUGAAUCAAUUAUACGAGAUCUGGUCCAGAAAAGGAUGCAUGCUAUGAAAGAUGGCGAGAGAACCAAAGAUGAUUUGCUCGGGAUAUUACUAGAGUCAAGCACGAGGCAUGCAGACGAGAAUGGACAUUCAGGCCCGGGGAUGACCAUCGAAGAAGUGAUGGAAGAGUGCAAAGUGUUCUAUUUUGCAGGGAUGGAGACGACAGCGAUACUCCUCACAUGGACCAUGGUUGUGCUAAGCAUGCACCCAGAAUGGCAGCACCGUGCAAGGGAGGAGGUCCUAAGCCUAUUUCAGAAAAACAAACUUGAUUAUGAAGGCCUGAGCAAACUCAAAACGUGAGUGACGAUGAUACUUUACGAGGUUCUCCGCUUGUACCCGCCGGGAAUUGGGUUUGUCCGGCAAACAUACAAGGAGAUGGAGAUCGGUGGCGUCAAGUACCCUGCAGGCGUGAUGAUCGAGCUACCGUUGUUGUUCAUCCACCAUGACCCAGACAUCUGGGGGAGCGAUGUGAACGAGUUCAAACCGGAGAGGUUCGCCGAGGGGAUCUCCAGGGCGUCCAACGAUCAUGGCGCGUUCUUCCCGUUUGGCUGGGGCCCGAGGAUCUGCAUGGGCCAGAACUUCGCGCUGCUCGAGGCCAAGAUGGCGCUGUGUAUGAUUCUCCAGCGCUUCGAGUUCGAGCUAGCGCCGUCUUACACUCACGCUCCCCAUAUUGUGUUGAUGCUGCGUCCGAUGCAUGGGGCACCAAUUAAGCUUAGGGCAAUCUGAUCGUCGAUCUUGUGAUGUUCAUAUCAUGCAUUGUAGGCUUUUUUUUUAAAAAAAAUGGCAUGUUUGGUUUAUACCAAUCAACCAUGCCACCAAAAAAUAAUUUAGCCAUAUCAAUAAAUUAAUUCUCCAUUUAGUUUGUAAAGAAAAGGUAUUGUCAAAUAUUUGGUUUGAUUGAAUCGACACUUUAAAAAUAUAGCAAAACGAAUAUUUUGCAACUUCAUCAAAA